UCUCGUUCACAUAGAGAGAGUGUAAGUCUUAACACAAUGUUUGCAGAUGUGAACGUGGAGGGAUCUCUAUAGAGAGUGAGUAGUGUCGCUCUCUGCUGUCUCUCCCGAGCAAGUGCACGUUGGUGACUUUCAUCCAUUACCCUGGUGCAACCUUUGGCCUCUUGUUGGCUUCGGCUGACAGAGGAUUUUACACAUUAACUCGAAUGUAAUGAAAACUACUGUCGUGCGCAAGCACUAAUGUACAACUUUCAACAACGGAUCUCUUGGCUCUCGCAUCGAUGAAGAACGCAGCGAAAUGCGAUAAGUAAUGUGAAUUGCAGAAUUCAGUGAAUCAUCGAAUCUUUGACCGCACCUUGCACCCUUUGGUAUUCCGAAGGGUAUGCUCGUUGGAGUGUCAUUGUACUCUCACACUCUCUAAUGCUUGCAGUAGGAGCGGUGGACUUGGGUGUUGCUGCUUCACGGUGGCUCACCUGAAAUGCAUUAGUGCACCUCCUGGUUGGACAUAGUACGGCGUGAUAAGUGUCUUCGCCGGCGCCUCGAAAGAGGGUGGCCGAUUGGGAGCUCUGGGCUUCUAACUGUCUUAGGACACUCUCUGACAACUGACCUCAUCUC
rnacentral:rRNA from 1 species